rnacentral:lncRNA from 1 species
AGUCCCAUUCUUUUCUACAAUUCCCGUUCUUUUCCUUCCUUCCCCGUUCUGCAGUAAGAAAUUUUCGUUCCUUCCCUUCUGAAAAAUUCCAUUCCUUCCCUUCUGCAAAAAUUCCGUUUCUGUUCUACAAGUUCCGUUUGGUGUGAGGUUUUUUCCUAUAUUUUAUUUACAUGCAUCAAUAUUAUAACUUGUAGUUUUCAUGCAUCAUUAAUGUAAGUUCAGUGCAUAAACAUUGAAAUUGGUUCGAUGUGUUCUUAAUUUUGAAGUGCUUCUAAUUAAGAACUGGAAAUCCGUUUUAUCUUGGGAAGCAAUUAUUCAAUUAAUCCUUAGCACCUGUGAGGGAAUAAAUUUACUUUAAGGAGACUUUGUGAAUUUAAAGGAGUCGGAUUUAUUCAUUAAUAUUUUCUAUGUUAUAUAUAUAUAAAAUUAUGUUCUGUUUUAUUAUAUUUAUAUAUAUAUUAAAUAAUACUAUAUAUUAUAGAUAACAAUCUUAAAGC